rnacentral:rRNA from 1 species
UACGUAGGGUGCAAGCGUUAUCCGGAAUCACUGGGCUUAAAGGGCGCGUAGGCGGUCGACCAAGUCUGGGGUGAAAUCUUUCGGCUCAACCGGAAAAGUGCCCCCGAUACUGGCCGGCUAGAGGGAGAUAGGGGCAUGCGGAACUUCCGGUGGAGCGGUGAAAUGCGUAGAUAUCGGAAGGAACGCCGGUGGCGAAAGCGGCGUGCUGGAUCUCUUCUGACGCUGAGGCGCGAAAGCCAGGGGAGCAAACGGG